UCAGGGAGUCCGUGCAGGCAGCCUGAGCUGGCCUAGUCCUCCGUGGGGCUCUUCAAAUGCUUCAGUUCUAAGGACAGUGUUUGCGUGGAGAGGUUGGGGACAAGAGGUGCCGCUUGCUUCCCAGGAAAGGGAAAGGGUCCACAAAGCUAUAGACUCCAGCAACGGGCAAGAUUCAGGUUUCCGUGGGCUGAGCCUAGCACGGCUUUCCUUUCUACUGCCUCAGUUUACCUGUGUCACAGGAAGAGUUAGAGCAGGGUCAGUCUCCAAACAGGGGAGACAGAAGAACAGCGGUAGUCCUCCCAGCCCUCCUCCUGUAUGCCAAAAUCAUUUCCGUUAUCCUGAGGCAGGGGAGCAGGUAUGGGUGCCCUGUGGCAUUUUUAAGGGACCCUGCCCUGCCCACAGCCCCAGCUGACCCUCACCUGGCGUGUCGUGCCCAGGUCACCAGCAACAGUGGUACUUCAUCAGUCCCGAGGCUUGGGUGAAGGGAGGUGGGGGGCUGGUGUCCUACUCUGUCCGCCUCCGGGGCCCCUCAUGCUUUCGUUUUCCUUGUCAAAGAAACAAAACCCUUGAAAGUUGUGUACUGUAUGAUGAAGAGACAAAAAAAAGUACCUAAUGUCCCCCUAAAAAAAAAGACAGUAUAUUUUGUACUUUGUAAAGUGUUCAUUAAAAUGAAGGGGAAAAAAAU
rnacentral:lncRNA from 1 species